GAUGAACGCUGGCGGCGUGCUUAANNNNNNAAGUCGAACGAACCUUCGGGUUAGUGGCGGACGGGUGAGUAACGCGUGAGAAUCUGCCCUCAGGAGGGGGAUAACGGCUGGAAACGGCCGCUAAUACCCCAUAUGCCGAGAGGUGAAAUGAAUUUCGCCUGAGGAUGAGCUCGCGUCUGAUUAGCUAGUUGGUGUGGUAAAGGCUCACCAAGGCAUCGAUCAGUAGCUGGUCUGAGAGGAUGAUCAGCCACACUGGGACUGAGACACGGCCCAGACUCCUACGGGAGGCAGCAGUGGGGAAUUUUCCGCAAUGGGCGCAAGCCUGACGGAGCAACGCCGCGUGAGGGAUGAAGGCCUCUGGGCUGUAAACCUCUUUUAUCAAGGAAGAAGAUCUGACGGUACUUGAUGAAUAAGCCACGGCUAAUUCCGUGCCAGCAGCCGCGGUAAUACGGGAGUGGCAAGCGUUAUCCGGAAUUAUUGGGCGUAAAGCGUCCGCAGGCGGUCUUGAAAG
rnacentral:rRNA from 1 species